UACGUAGGGCGCAAGCGUUGUCCGGAAUUAUUGGGCGUAAAGAGCUCGUAGGCGGUUGGGCAAGUCACGUGUGAAAUCUCCACGCUCAACGUGGAGGCGCCACGUGAGACUGCCCUGACUCGAGUCCGGUAGGGGAGCGUGGAAUUCCCGGUGUAGCGGUGAAAUGCGCAGAGAUCGGGAGGAACACCCGUAGCGAAGGCGGCGCUCUGGGCCGGUACUGACGCUGAGGAGCGAAAGCGUGGGGAGCAAACAGG
rnacentral:rRNA from 1 species